AGCCGGGCCCCGCGCGACGGCGGCCUGUGGACCCCGUCAGAUCCGGAAGGAAGCAGCGGCAGCAGUCACCGGCGUGUGCUGCGGGUCAACCUGGCUAUC
rfam:Syntrophaceae bacterium CG2_30_58_14 cg2_3.0_scaffold_1503_c, whole genome shotgun sequence.